rnacentral:rRNA from 1 species
GGGUUGUGAGGUUAAGCGACUAAGCGUACACGGUGGAUGCCCUGGCAGUCAGAGGCGAUGAAGGACGUGCUAAUCUGCGAUAAGCGUCGGUAAGGUGAUAUGAACCGUUAUAACCGGCGAUUUCCGAAUGGGGAAACCCAGUGUGUUUCGUCACACUAUCAUUAACUGAAUCCAUAGGUUAAUGAGGCGAACCGGGGGAACUGAAACAUCUAAGUACCCCGAGGAAAAGAAAUCAACCGAGAUUCCCCCAGUAGCGGCGAGCGAACGGGGAGCAGCCCAGAGCCUGAAUCAGUGUGUGUGUUAGUGGAAGCGUCUGGAAAGGCGCGCGAUACAGGGUGACAGCCCCGUACACAAAAAUGCACAUAUUGUGAGCUCGAUGAGUAGGGCGGGACACGUGGUAUCCUGUCUGAAUAUGGGGGGACCAUCCUCCAAGGCUAAAUACUCCUGACUGACCGAUAGUGAACCAGUACCGUGAGGGAAAGGCGAAAAGAACCCCGGCGAGGGGAGUGAAAAAGAACCUGAAACCGUGUACGUACAAGCAGUGGGAGCACGCUUAGGCGUGUGACUGCGUACCUUUUGUAUAAUGGGUCAGCGACUUAUAUUCUGUAGCAAGGUUAACCGAAUAGGGGAGCCGAAGGGAAACCGAGUCUUAACUGGGCGUUAAGUUGCAGGGUAUAGACCCGAAACCCGGUGAUCUAGCCAUGGGCAGGUUGAAGGUUGGGUAACACUAACUGGAGGACCGAACCGACUAAUGUUGAAAAAUUAGCGGAUGACUUGUGGCUGGGGGUGAAAGGCCAAUCAAACCGGGAGAUAGCUGGUUCUCCCCGAAAGCUAUUUAGGUAGCGCCUCGUGAAUUCAUCUCCGGGGGUAGAGCACUGUUUCGGCAAGGGGGUCAUCCCGACUUACCAACCCGAUGCAAACUGCGAAUACCGGAGAAUGUUAUCACGGGAGACACACGGCGGGUGCUAACGUCCGUCGUGAAGAGGGAAACAACCCAGACCGCCAGCUAAGGUCCCAAAGUCAUGGUUAAGUGGGAAACGAUGUGGGAAGGCCCAGACAGCCAGGAUGUUGGCUUAGAAGCAGCCAUCAUUUAAAGAAAGCGUAAUAGCUCACUGGUCGAGUCGGCCUGCGCGGAAGAUGUAACGGGGCUAAACCAUGCACCGAAGCUGCGGCAGCGACGCUUAUGCGUUGUUGGGUAGGGGAGCGUUCUGUAAGCCUGCGAAGGUGUGCUGUGAGGCAUGCUGGAGGUAUCAGAAGUGCGAAUGCUGACAUAAGUAACGAUAAAGCGGGUGAAAAGCCCGCUCGCCGGAAGACCAAGGGUUCCUGUCCAACGUUAAUCGGGGCAGGGUGAGUCGACCCCUAAGGCGAGGCCGAAAGGCGUAGUCGAUGGGAAACAGGUUAAUAUUCCUGUACUUGGUGUUACUGCGAAGGGGGGACGGAGAAGGCUAUGUUGGCCGGGCGACGGUUGUCCCGGUUUAAGCGUGUAGGCUGGUUUUCCAGGCAAAUCCGGAAAAUCAAGGCUGAGGCGUGAUGACGAGGCACUACGGUGCUGAAGCAACAAAUGCCCUGCUUCCAGGAAAAGCCUCUAAGCAUCAGGUAACAUCAAAUCGUACCCCAAACCGACACAGGUGGUCAGGUAGAGAAUACCAAGGCGCUUGAGAGAACUCGGGUGAAGGAACUAGGCAAAAUGGUGCCGUAACUUCGGGAGAAGGCACGCUGAUAUGUAGGUGAAGUCCCUUGCGGAUGGAGCUGAAAUCAGUCGAAGAUACCAGCUGGCUGCAACUGUUUAUUAAAAACACAGCACUGUGCAAACACGAAAGUGGACGUAUACGGUGUGACGCCUGCCCGGUGCCGGAAGGUUAAUUGAUGGGGUCAGCGCAAGCGAAGCUCUUGAUCGAAGCCCCGGUAAACGGCGGCCGUAACUAUAACGGUCCUAAGGUAGCGAAAUUCCUUGUCGGGUAAGUUCCGACCUGCACGAAUGGCGUAAUGAUGGCCAGGCUGUCUCCACCCGAGACUCAGUGAAAUUGAACUCGCUGUGAAGAUGCAGUGUACCCGCGGCAAGACGGAAAGACCCCGUGAACCUUUACUAUAGCUUGACACUGAACAUUGAGCCUUGAUGUGUAGGAUAGGUGGGAGGCUUUGAAGUGUGGACGCCAGUCUGCAUGGAGCCGGCCUUGAAAUACCACCCUUUAAUGUUUGAUGUUCUAACGUGGACCCGUGAUCCGGGUUGCGGACAGUGUCUGGUGGGUAGUUUGACUGGGGCGGUCUCCUCCUAAAGAGUAACGGAGGAGCACGAAGGUUGGCUAAUCCUGGUCGGACAUCAGGAGGUUAGUGCAAUGGCAUAAGCCAGCUUGACUGCGAGCGUGACGGCGCGAGCAGGUGCGAAAGCAGGUCAUAGUGAUCCGGUGGUUCUGAAUGGAAGGGCCAUCGCUCAACGGAUAAAAGGUACUCCGGGGAUAACAGGCUGAUACCGCCCAAGAGUUCAUAUCGACGGCGGUGUUUGGCACCUCGAUGUCGGCUCAUCACAUCCUGGGGCUGAAGUAGGUCCCAAGGGUAUGGCUGUUCGCCAUUUAAAGUGGUACGCGAGCUGGGUUUAGAACGUCGUGAGACAGUUCGGUCCCUAUCUGCCGUGGGCGCUGGAGAACUGAGGGGGGCUGCUCCUAGUACGAGAGGACCGGAGUGGACGCAUCACUGGUGUUCGGGUUGUCAUGCCAAUGGCACUGCCCGGUAGCUAAAUGCGGAAGAGAUAAGUGCUGAAAGCAUCUAAGCACGAAACUUGCCCCGAGAUGAGUUCUCCCUGACCCUUUAAGGGUCCUGAAGGAACGUUGAAGACGACGACGUUGAUAGGCCGGGUGUGUAAGCGCAGCGAUGCGUUGAGCUAACCGGUACUAAUGAACCGUGAGGCUUAACCUUACAACGCCGAAG